rnacentral:lncRNA from 1 species
ACUUUACUUUGGAUAGGAAGAUGAUUGGAAAGAUAAAUUUAAGAAUUUGACAACUUACAUUAGAAAGUUUUUGACAAUCUUCAAAUUCGGGACCCUUUUGCUAUGGGAAGUAUAUGAAAUUCAAUUUUGAUGUUGUCAAUUCUAAAUCAUCUGGAUCUGUGUAUUUUAUGUGUCAGCUUCAGAUUUUCAUGAGAAUAUUGCCUUUAUUUCCUCUGAAAAGCAAUGCCUCUAUGCUGAACACAUCUGCUAAAUAUAAUAUCCUAAGGAAAACAAACAAUCUCAGAAGAGGCUUACAAUACAAACUUGUGUGAAAAUAGACAUGGUGGCAACUUAAGAGCUCUAGUGUCGUCAAACAUUGUAACUACUACAGAUGCAAAUAAAAAAAUUUAUGAUUGGUUAAAAUUAAUUAAUAUUCCAACUAAAAAUGUUUCUUGAUGCAUGCAAGUUAGUCAAGUAUUUAGUUAUGAUUCCAAUUCGAUAUGGAAACAUUUUGAACCAUGCUAUUCUAUGAAAAAUACUUUGCUAGUUGUCAAAAUGGUAGGAGCUGAAAGUUGGAUUUAGGGAGUUUUGCUGAUAUUCCUUGGAGCAAUGUACAAUAUUCGUCAAGCAACAAAACAUUUGUGUUUACUACUUAUCCUGAUAAUAUGUUGAAGAUUAAAGAUCUUGGUAACACCCAACUUUGUUCAAAGAGCCUGACAAAUAGAAGAAUAUAUCCUUGUUUUGGUUUGGAGCAGUUUGUCUUUGAAGGCGAGAGUAAACAUGGGAAGAGAGUAAACGUGGGAAUGAAAAACUGAGAUUAUUCAUUGAAAAUUAGAAGUUAUAAUGUAUUAGGUUCAAAUACACUGAUAGGGAUUCAAGACAUUUAAGUCUUUUAUUUCAUGUAAAAUUAUGAUUGAAUUGAUCAGUUUGUAAUUAAUGUAUAGAGUAUAGAGU